rnacentral:rRNA from 1 species
CUACGUGCCAGCAGCCGCGGUAAUACGUAGGUGGCAAGCGUUGUCCGGAAUUAUUGGGCGUAAAGCGCGCGCAGGCGGAUUGGUCAGUCUGUCUUAAAAGUUCGGGGCUUAACCCCGUGAUGGGAUGGAAACUGCCAAUCUAGAGUAUCGGAGAGGAAAGUGGAAUUCCUAGUGUAGCGGUGAAAUGCGUAGAUAUUAGGAAGAACACCAGUGGCGAAGGCGACUUUCUGGACGAAAACUGACGCUGAGGAGCGAAAGCUAGGGGAGCAAACAGGAUUAGAUACCCUGGUAGUCCUAGCCGUAAACGAUGGACACUAGGUGUGGGGGAAUAUUUCUUCCGUGCUGCAGCUAACGCAUUAAGUGUCCCGCCUGGGGAGUACGGCCGCAAGGCUAAAACUCAAAGGAAUUGACGGGGGCCCGCACAAGCAGCGGAGCAUGUGGUUUAAUUCGAAGCAACGCGAAGAACCUUACCAGGGCUU